rnacentral:rRNA from 1 species
UGCAAGCGUUACUCGGAAUUACUGGGCGUAAAGCGUGCGUAGGUGGUUUGUUAAGUCUGUUGUGAAAGCCCCGGGCUCAACCUGGGAAUGGCAAUGGAUACUGGCAAGCUAGAGUGCGGUAGAGGGUAGUGGAAUUCCCGGUGUAGCGGUGAAAUGCGUAGAGAUCGGGAGGAACACCAGUGGCGAAGGCGGCUACCUGGACCAGCACUGACACUGAGGCACGAAAGCGUGGGGAGCAAACAGGAUUAGAUACCCUGGUAGUCCACGCCCUAAACGAUGCGAACUGGACGUUGGGAGCAACUUGGCUCUCAGUGUCGAAGCUAACGCGUUAAGUUCGCCGCCUGGGGAGUACGGUCGCAAGACUG